UCGUCAGUAAGGGUAUAUUCUUACCUGUUGCCUUUGUUGCAGCAGAAAUAAUGAACGUUUUAAAUCAAUUAGUGAUUAACUAGCUCCCAGCCUGAAGAAUUAACAACCCUUCAGGGCCUUUCAAAU